CCCUGCAGUUGGUGGCAGCAUUGUCCUCAGGAGUCGUUCAAGAUUCGUUUGCCGAGUGUUCUGCCGCGUGUCCGUGCCGCAAAUUUCGCGCGCGUUUCCUUUUUUGGUGCUGCUCGUUGUUUGUUGCACAUUUGCGGCGGGCUGUCUGUCAGUCUGUCUGCUUGUACGUCUCCCAAAAACUCUCUCAGAACCAAAUGCUGUCUGUGUGGCCAGUCUUCGGUCGUGACUCCUCUGACUCUGAAACUUUUAAACUCUGACUCUGCCUCAGUGACAGUUUGUAAACCAGAAGAAGCAGAGCAGCGGCUGAAGAAGACACACACUCCUUAUAGAUAGAGGCUUCCAUGCCCGCGAAAAUGACAGUUUUGAGUUGUGGUCCUGGCUUGUGUUUGGCGCCGGCUACAGCUUCAGCUUCCAAUUCGAAUGCGGGGUGCAAUCACAGCAAACGUCAUUAGCACUCGCGACAUCGCCUUCGAUUGACAGAAGGUCUCGCUCCUAGAACGGGCAAACAGUUCCUAGAAGGGGAACAGCAACAGCAACAGCAGAAGGAGCAGGAGCAGGAGCAGGAGCUCCACGAAACGGUGGCCAAAGAGAACAACUUCACAUUUGCAUAACUUUGCUGCAGCUUCAACAUUCAGAUUCGCCAGAUGUCGGCGGCCGCGGCAGCGGGUGGCAAAGGCACUGCCAUGGAUGUGGAUGUGGUGCAGGCAGCUGGAAAUCAAAGCCCAAUUGGCACAAACACGCGGUAAAUAGAAAUCGCAAUCGAGGCUUGCAAUUGAAAAUAGAAAUUCGCAUUCAAAUGCAAAUAGAAAUAGAAAUAGAAAUUGCCACGAGACCCCAAACAACAAACAGGGCGAAAAAAACAACUAAA